UAAAACUGUCGCGCCGCGUAUUUAUUUUAAAUUUACUCGUGAAAUAUUUGUACAAGUAAAUUGUUUCUUAUAAAAGUGCAAAGAACCGGUGGUAGCGGAAAUAAAAAAAAACAAAGAACUGCAAACGGGACGAGGAUGUUUGCUGAAGAAAGUUGUCGAAAAUGCAAGGAGGUUUCAACAAAGGCGGAAACAGUUUUCUCUGACUGAGUAGCGCCCGGGAAAGAAGGGGACGAGUGAAAAAAACUGGCUUUUCGAGGAAACAACAAACAAAAGGAACAACACGUGUGUGUGAAAAAUCAAUCGAGACACGCGAAUUGCGGUGAUGUGAGAGUAAAAGGUAUGUGGUGUCGUUUAGUCAUGUUUAUAUAUUUAUAUGUAAAGUUCUAAAAAAGGAUGAAUCACUUAAUCCUUUAGCACUUAAUUCAUUAAAUACAGUAGCAGCCUCGCUCUCUAAAUAGAUACUAAAUAUAAUAAUGGUAUAAUGCGGUAAUUAUAUCGUUAAUAUAGAUUAUUAACAUUAUUUAAAUUAAUAUAUAAUCGUCGGAAUUGUAUAAUAAACAAUGAUACAAGAUAUUUUUGUCGUUUUAGUUUUUUAAAUUGUUAUCAUAUAGUUAAUAAUCACAAUAGCGUAUUCUGAAAAAUAGAUUAGGGUCCCGUGGGCAGAGGGCGGAGUGCUUCGAUUUCCGGACAAUUUUUUUUCUCUCUUUCUCUCUUUUUAAUAUCUAUUUGCGCUUUUCCACGGGCGAACCUAAGUCUCGGACGAGAACCUGUGAGGGGGGGGGGGACGAUCGGUCACACAGGUCUCGAGUCGUUAUCAAAAGUCGCGUCACGAGCGAUUCCUGUCAUCCGUUCACCCCGUCUUUGAUUUACGCCGCAAAUGACUCGAAACGCAACUCGAAGAAUUGCAACUAGGAAUCCAGCAACCCCUAUUGUACUUGCAUUUUACGUUGACUGUCGCUUUCGUGUGACGAGGAUGGUACAAAAAAAAAAAGAACAAGAAUCGAACGCUCGAUGUUUCGUUCGGGAGGAUUUUAGCGCGAUUUCGAGUAUUAUACAGGAUCGGCGGGGUUACUUCCCCGCAAAACUUUCGUGCUCGACGUCGCUCACGACGACAGAUCUCCGCGCGAUUUUCGUCUCUCGUCGUCGUCGUCGUCUUGACGCGCGUUGAUGCGCAACAAAUUUCCUUCGCGACGUUGACUUUCGAUCACCGAGUCCCGCUCGAGAGAACUCGUACAACGAGCACCAUCGUCGUUGCGACGCGUUCGCAUCUAUAUAUAAACAGCGCGUUUUACGCGGUGUGUAUUUUAUUACCAGUAAAAGACUAGUAUCGGGCUCGUUUUACUACAAAGCUUUUCUCAUCGCCAUCCCUCCCGCUUUCACGUUUCCAUUUUCUUUCCUUUUCUUAUUUUAUUUAUUUAUUUAUUUAUUUUUUUUUUAACCGCGUCUCUGCCACUCUGCCUAGGGAACCCACUAUAACAGGGCACUAUGAACAGCAGUCUGCUGGCUAAGUGACUUUCCGAAUCUACAGUCGUUCUCUCGCAUUCUCUCGCUCUCGUUCGCUCUCACUCGAUCAAGUUUACCUCUCUCUCGCCCUGUCGCACGUCCAUUAAAAUUUUUUUUUUUUUUUCCCCCUCACAACGCUUUGCCCUCGUUUCCACUCGCGUUUUCCCUAAUCUCGCUCUCUCUCUUUCUCUCUCUCUCUCUCUCUCUCUCUCUCUCUCUCUCUCUCCGGCACGUCUCCGUGGUUCUUCGCUUUUUCAUUCUUCUUCAUCGAUCCCGUGCACCUCUCCGGCAACUCGUUGCCAACCGAAAUACCGUGUUUUUUUGAAUUUUCGUUCAUUUUUGCGUCAAAAAAGCGGAAACUCAGCUCUCGGACAAAGAAACGCAAAUGUCGUCCUCGCGAAGUACAAACAAACGUAACGUGUAAGAGAAUAACAUAAAAAAAAAAAAAAGAGAAAGAGAAAAUAAACGGUGCGUAAGCGUUUAAACGGCACAACGAAGCUUGGCAGUUGGAACGGACAGACCUAUCGGGUGCAAAAUAAUAAGAGAAAAAUCGAGCUCUCGCUGAUUGCGCAAACUAUCGUAUCGGAUAAAAUCACACGGAAAGAAAGCUUCACAUUCCGCCCUCCUCCUCCUCCUAUACCCUUCUCCCCCAGAGCUUAUCCCAGACAAAAUCCGAUCUAACACGCGCUCGCAAAAACUCUCUCCGCGCUUCUCCCUCCCACGUGUUGUUACGCGGAACAUAUCGCGCGACGCACCCCUUUUCCCUUUUUCGGUCCAUCGAAAAAAUCGACACAAAAGCCUCCCUUUCGCCAGCAUGCUUUUCUCCUAUGUCAGCAUUCACACUACGUGUCAGCCAAUAGUAAACCACUACUUUACCUUUUUCGCGUUUAUGAUAUUUUAUACUUUACUUUUUUUAAUUAUCUUUUUUUUUGUUCGUUUAAUAUUAGACAUGCCGUGUCUCUACCGUCAGCCUACUGCCAAACUAUCCUAUUCCUUUGCCCUCUCCUCUUUUCUCUUCUUCGUGUGUAUGUCUCAUAUGUUUUAUUCUCUUCGACCCUCUCCUCUUUUGCUCGCGUCGCGUGCUUUCAUCAAAACCCUUGCCGGGGUUAUUUCCCAGAUUCCCACAUUUCUUUCGCUCUCGCUCUCGCUCUCUCUUUCUCUCUCUCUCUUUCUCGCUUCUUACAGUUUUAUAAAUAGUAUUGUAUUAAUAAUUCAUCAUUCUCUUUCGUGUGUGUGUCGUUACAAGUAUAAUUAUCGGCAAUAAUAUACCUUUAUUAUUAAUGUAGUAAUCUCGUUUAUAUUUAGUAUCGCUCUCCCCCUCGCGCUUUCUUUUGCCAUUUUUUUUUUUUUUUUUUUUUUUUUUUUCCAUUAUUAUUCUCUCUCUCAAUCCCGCCGGAUAUAAAUUUCGUUCGCGCGCGUGUCGCGGCCACGGAGAAAUUCCGCGAGCGUUGAAAUCGCGCGAGCGUUUUCACGAAUGAACGAGAACGAACAAAUCGUCAUCACACGCUGCCGCUCCUCCUGUGUGUGCCACGCAAAAAUGAGUGCCUGCGAUCGAUUAUUAUUAUUAAAUUGCGGGUGGUUGCUUCGAUUUUUUCUUCUUUUCUGGUUGAUGUUUUUUUUUUUUUCGUUUUUUUCAAAUCCGUGCUCGACGCGUGUCGCGCGCCGACGACACGAAAAUAUAUGGAUUUAUAUUAAAUUACAAAUUACGGCGAAGACGCGCGCGCGCGCACACACACACACAUAUACACCACGCAACAUACAUUCACGCACACGCAUAUCCAUAUUACACAACCGUGCCCGAUUAAUUAACGUCGAAGGACCCUCCCAAAUUGCGACUCUGGCAUGCGACACGCGGCCACUCGACGAACUCAACAAGCUGUGUACGUUCGUCCUGCGUCGACGUUGGAGCGCACGUAUCAUCGCACGUAAUUAAAAAAAAAAAAAAAAAAAAAAAACAAUUAUACGCGCGGAUUCGAUUUUUCGUUCCGACCGAUCUGAUGAUCGAUGAUGCGUCUCGCACAAUCGACAUCGACAAACGACGUUUUAAUAAAUUCGAUGUUCCGCGACGACGUUUCGUCCCGACCCGCCGUGUUCGUUGAACGCGGUAUUAUGUUGCUCCAAGUUAUUGUUAUUUUAUACUUAUACGCCAUGUGUGACGUGCAAUAUAGCAAUCGCAUCGCAUUAUUUUCACACCAGAUGCGUUGUGUGCAAAAUAUGACGUAAUUCUAUAUAUUCGAUGAUAUAUGUGUGUGUUAAUAUAUACAGUCGGUUUCGACGUCGACGUCGCGGCUAAUCGAAUCAAACUCCGACGAGAGAGCCACACACAAGUGGCUGCAUAUGUGUGUUUAUGUCGCGCGUGUUGUACGAGUGUGUGUGUGUUUUUUGUAUGUGUUUUGUACGUCCAGUAUACGUGUUGUAGAGAGCGAUAAGUAGUUGCGGUGACUUAAUUAAGAGACCCUUAAAUGCUAGAAAUCGGAAUCGUGACGCUUUUCAAAACGCUAUUUUAAUUAAUGUACAGUCUGCGAUCUCUCGUCGCUUAUCUUCUCCAGCGCGUUGUCCGGCUCGACUCGCGCGAAUAUUCGACGAAUUCUCGCGCGUGUCGCGCCGGAUUCCUCCACCUUCGCCUUUGCGAAAUUCGAUCGCGAUCUCGCGAACGGCACGAAGCAGACACGCGCGCGCGCGCGCGCGCUUAUAACGAGUAAUGCAAAGAGAGUAUAAUAAUAACGAUCGUGAUAACGAGUGGCGUGUGGCAAACGCGCGAGAUCGUGACGCUCGCGAGACGCGAAUCGGAGAAUGUGUGCGCGCGUGUGUGUAUGCGUUAAUUUUGUUGGAUACUCGCCGAAAUCUCUGCGUCGUGUCCGAUAAUACGUGUCGAUAAAAGUGAACAAUGGAAAGCUCGCGACAAUUAAAAAAAUCCGAUUCGAAUUUUGAAUCUUCGAGCUUGUACGUCGUGGCGACGUCGAAACGACAAUUCGAUAUCUCAAAAGGAAAUAUCGAAAAAAGGAACACGCGCGCGAGGGAAAGUGUGAGAGGACACAAAUAGGACGGCGAAUAUCCUGACUGAUCCAAAUGAAUCGGCAUUAUACGAUACACACACACACACACACGCACACGCACACACGUACGCAUACACACGCGGACGCGGGAUAUGUCACGUUUGCGGUGUGUUUCUUUUCACAUUUUGGCGCGGUCUCGACAAAAUCGGCGGCAUCCUCUUCUCUGCCGACUUUUAACGGCAAGAACGACGAUGACGACGACAUUACACGACAUGUUAUCAGAUAGGCGAUGUAAUGCAAACGUGUGCCAGAGUCACAUUCGGGGACGCUCUCUCUUUUCCGCGAACGGUUAUAAACGGUUCUUUUUUUUUUUUUUUUUAAGGAUACACAUGGCC